AGUUAACGCUGGCGGCGUGCCUAACACAUGCAAGUCGAGCGAAUUCUUACAGAGCAUCGUAAGAGUUAGCGGCAAACGGGUGAGUAACACAUGGGAAACCUCCCUUAGAAUGGGGAAUAUCUCCGUGAAAACGGAGCUAAUACCGCAUAAGACCACAGUUUGGCAUCAAACAGGGGUAAAAGCAGCAAUGCGUUCUAAGAUGGUCCUGUGUCCUAUCAGCUAGUUGGUGAGAUAACGGCUUACCAAGGCUAAGACGGGUAUCCGGCCUGAAAGGGUGAACGGACACACUGGAACUGAGACACGGUCCAGACUCC
rnacentral:rRNA from 1 species